UUUUUUUUUUUGUAAUGAAUAGUGUUUGGAUAAUUAUACCAUCUAGACUAUUUAUUCACUAUCAUUAAUAAUGAUUACUUUUUUUUUCGUAAAAAAAAUACUUCCUCCGUUAACGGUUAAUUGCAACAUAUACUAAAAAUGGGUGCUAAUCUUUAAUUGCAACAAUUUUUUUUUUCCAAUUUUGCUAUGUUUUUUAAAUCAAAAAUACCUUCCUACCCUUAUUAUAAAAUGAUUAACAUACACUUAAGUACUUAACUACAACAUAUUAAAAUCCUAAUCUAACAUUACUAUCUAACCAUUCCCACAAAAAAAAAAAAUCUGAUCCCACUACCUCAUUCAUUUCCUUUUAAUACUGCCCCCAAAUUGAUUCAACUACCCAACUUCAUUAUUCAUUGCAAACUUCAACCUUUAACCACCUGCAUUUAAUCCAUGGCGUCAAACCCUAAUCUACAUAUGUCUAUAAAACCAUCAACCCUUGCAUUCCACGCGUUUCCCCUUCUGCUCUCAACAUCUCUUCUCUGUAUACUCUCUUUCCUCUCCAUAUUUCGACCUCGUUCUUUCUCAGAUCUGAACAAUUUCGACCGAAAUUAUGAGUUCUCCCCCUAAGAAAUCAUCUGAUCCUUUCUCGUAUGAGAGUCUUGGUGUUCAGAAAUAGGAAAUCGAUCUUGAUGCUCCUGGUGUUCAGCUGCACAAGUGCGAGCGCGGAACUGGUAAAAUGAAACCAGUUCGUCGGGCUUCUUUGGUGUGGACUAGAUUCAAGAAAUAUGGGAAUGGUGUUAAGAUCAGUGAGAUUGUCUCCGAUGAUGAAGAUUCCUCUGAUAAGGCAGAUCUGGGCAAAGAAGCAGCUGUGAACGCUCCCGUUGUUCCCAUCUGCCCAGAUCUGAAAAAUAAGGCCCCUGUUGAUGCUGAUCUUGCCAUUAAUAGUGACCUUAGCUUGAGGUUGCUAAAUCUGCUCUUGCUAAGCAACAAAGCAAAGGCGCUCUUUCUAGACACAAAAGGGUUCGAUCUGGGUACCCUAUUGAUGUGGAGAAUAUUGAUUUGGCUUAUCGUAAGGAGUUCCACCUAGAAAUGUUUCCUAACAAUUGACUGAUCAGCUUAUGUUUCAGAUUAAGAAGGUGAUGAAGUGGAGGUGGCUUUUUUUUGGACAAUUGAAGCAGAACCGAAGCACGCAAAUAAGAUGUUGAAGAUGCUGUCACUAACUUAGCACCAAUUAGGUUUAGGAUGGUAGUAUUUUGGGUAAUUAAGCUAACAGUAAGACUGAUUUAGUGGUAGCUUUUGUGGUUUAAAUUGUGGAUGUAAUUUGGUUAGUGAGAAGCCAUGGUUUGUAACUUUUGAGUUUCUUAAACAAUUGAAUUAAUGUGCUGUACUAUUUAUACUCUCCAUUGUAUUCGUUGAAAUGCAAGGAGGGAAAACAUUUGGUGCUAAAUCUGAAAAUUUGGAGUUGAAAAGUCAAAAUUUCAAAUUUGGUGAAAA